CCUCACUCAGGGUCGCACUUUGAGAGUUUCCAGUACUCUGCCAGUCACGACUACAGGAGGGAGAGUCAAGCAGAGGCAUACCCAUUCCAUUCCUAGCUUGGGCAGUGGCUAGUGAGUGGAAGAUAAUCUGCUACAAGU